rnacentral:rRNA from 1 species
GGUCCAGACUCCUACGGGAGGCAGCAGUGGGGAAUAUUGCACAAUGGGGGAAACCCUGAUGCAGCGACGCCGCGUGAGCGAUGAAGUAUUUCGGUAUGUAAAGCUCUAUCAGCAGGGAAGAAAAUGACGGUACCUGACUAAGAAGCCCCGGCUAACUACGUGCCAGCAGCCGCGGUAAUACGUAGGGGGCAAGCGUUAUCCGGAUUUACUGGGUGUAAAGGGAGCGUAGACGGUCCUGCAAGCCAGAUGUGAAGGCCCGGGGCUCAACCCCGGGACUGCUCUGGAAACUGCGUCGCUGGAGUACGGGAGGGGCAGGCGGAAUUCCUGGUGUAGCGGUGAAAUGCGUAGAUAUCAGGAGGAACACCGGCGGCGAAGGCGGCCUGCUGGACCGUGACUGACGUUGAGGCUCGAGAGCGUGGGGAGCAAACAGGAUUAGAUACCCUGGUA